GGUGUGGGGCAGGCAGACCAGGCAGAGCUGCCCGCAUUUGCACUGGUACCUCGCAGAGUAAACAGUUCUCUGAACUUCGGCCCACUCCUGAGGUCACCAGCAGCUGAUUUCACUUUCGUUUCUUCACUGACUCUUGUUGGCCCCUGACUUCUCGGAAAGAAGGCUGUAAACAAUGCUGUCCUGCUCUCUACCCAAACUGGAGCUGGUCAGCCCACUGGCUUCAAGACCAGAUAAGUGUCUUGAUUGUAUCACACAACAAUUCCAGGAAAGACACGGGCCAACACACUCUCCAAUCUCUGAGUGAUUUAAACUGCAAGGUGUAAUCUACUGACUCUCACCUGUAGAAGAUAAAGAUUUAGCAUUCUUCUCCCCGACUCCAUGUUCCACAAGUAUAAGUCCUUUUCCCUCCUGCUUCCAAACUGGUUAUAAUUUCGUGUAAAUCAAUACUCAGUGUCUACAACACUGUGACUAUGUAAAUACUAUAUGCAGCAGCUGAGCCAUGUGGAAAA